UGUUGGGUUGAUCACCUAACACGGAAGUGACUGAAGAACCCUGUUGGAAUUAGGCGGGGUAAAGUAUUGAGUUAGAGGUGGUGCUCGCUGACAUUGUGCAGAACCCUUUACCAAGGGAACUCAAGUUGUAAUGAACCUUACAUCGCACACUAGCGAUUCCCGUUACUUGAGGGUAAAAUGAAUUCCCUCCUUCCACACC
rnacentral:ncRNA from 1 species